AUUGCCUUAGUACGGCGAGUGAGCGGCAAAAGCUCAAAUUUGAAAUCUGGCACCUUCGGUGUCCGAGUUGUAAUUUGAAGAAGGUAACUUUGGAGUUGGCUCUUGUCUAUGUUCCUUGGAACAGGACGUCACAGAGGGUGAGAAUCCCGUGCGAUGAGAUGCCCAAUUCUAUGUAAAGUGCUUUCGAAGAGUCGAGUUGUUUGGGAAUGCAGCUCUAAGUGGGUGGUAAAUUCCAUCUAAAGCUAAAUAUUGGCGAGAGACCGAUAGCGAACAAGUACAGUGAUGGAAAGAUGAAAAGAACUUUGAAAAGAGAGUGAAAAAGUACGUGAAAUUGUUGAAAGGGAAGGGCUUGAGAUCAGACUUGGUAUUUUGCGAUCCUUUCCUUCUUGGUUGGGUUCCUCGCAGCUUACUGGGCCAGCAUCGGUUUGGAUGGUAGGAUAAUGACUAAGGAAUGUGGCUCUACUUCGGUGGAGUGUUAUAGCCUUGGUUGAUACUGCCUGUCUAGACCGAGGACUGCGUCUUUUGACUAGGAUGUUGGCAUAAUGAUCUUAAGCCAGCCGUCUUGAACCACGGACCAA
rnacentral:rRNA from 1 species